rnacentral:tRNA from 1 species
GGGCCCAUAAGUUAUAACAAAUAGUUAGCCUCAAAGCUGAAAUAGGGUCACCUCGGCUCA